rnacentral:rRNA from 1 species
UGCCAGCAGCCGCGGUAAGACGGAGGGUGCAAGUGUUAUCCGGAUUUACUGGGUUUAAAGGGUGUUAAGGCGGUCGUAUAAGUCGAUAGUGAAAGCUAGCAGCUCAACUGUUAAGGUGCUGUCGAUACUGUAUGACUUGAGUCUAGUGGAAGUAAGUGGAAUUCUGCAUGUAGCGGUAAAAUGCUUAGAUAUGCAGAGGAACACCAAUAACGAAGGUAGCUUACUAUGCUACGACUGACGCUGACACACGAAAGCGUGGGGAGCAAACAGGAUUAGAUA